UCCGCUUUCACCCUUUGAAAGUCCGAGGUUUCUUCCAUGACUUUCUUGACAAGCCUCUCCAUUUCAGCUUUUUCCAUAUUCAUGGUGUUCUCUUCCCUUGUUCGUCUUUGAACUUCGAUACCUUCUGCAACGAUGCAACCUAGUCUGCCGACUUCUUCCAUCAGAGAAGGAAUGACCACCAUCCUGAUGAUUGGAGAGAUUUGCGUGACGCAGCUCUACAACAAGUGCUUUGUGCUGUUCAAGCUCAAGGGUGAUACGAGCAAGGUCAGCUCGAAGGGAUCCUACCAGCGCUUCCAGUGCUAAAUUUAAACAUGAUCAGUUGUCUUCAUGAUCGUAGAGAGGCUACAAAGGGCAACUUACCCGAUUUCUCAUUUUCAGACUUUCUUGUCUUCUUUUCUCCAUUUCUCCUAGCAGCAUCCACUUCUUGAUUUGCUUUCUCCGCUUCAGCUUCCAGCUCUUUUACUCUCCGACGGGAGACCGAACUUUCCAUUUCCAAAGCCCUUAAUCGAGCAUGGAGAGUCGCUAAUGUAUGGGGGAUAUUUACUGCAAUAUUCUUAGCAUUCAUCCAUCUCAACAAUCAAGUGCUCACCAGCUGGCUCCCCGCCUAGGUCGCCAUUGCUUUUCAAGGAAUCGAAUAUUAAGCCUUUGGCUGGCGUGGCCAUCAAUGCACUCAUACCUGUCACAUCGGCUGAAGCAUCUGGAUUUUUCCGAACAGGCGCACUUGUAGCCUUCUUACCUUCAUUCUGGAGCAUACGUAGCCUGUCAA
rnacentral:sRNA from 1 species